GACGAACGCUGGCGGCGUGCCUAAUACAUGCAAGUAGAACGCUAAAGGAGGAGCUUGCUCUUCUGGAUGAGUUGCGAACGGGUGAGUAACGCGUAGGUAACCUGCCUGGUAGCGGGGGAUAACUAUUGGAAACGAUAGCUAAUACCGCAUAACAGUAGAUGUUGCAUGACAUUUGCUUAAAAGGUGCAAUUGCACCACUACCAGAUGGACCUGCGUUGUAUUAGCUAGUUGGUGGGGUAACGGCUCACCAAGGCGACGAUACAUAGCCGACCUGAGAGGGUGAUCGGCCACACUGGGACUGAGACACGGCCCAGACUCCUACGGGAGGCAGCAGUAGGGAAUCUUCGGCAAUGGACGGAAGUCUGACCGAGCAACGCCGCGUGAGUGAAGAAGGUUUUCGGAUCGUAAAGCUCUGUUGUAAGAGAAGAACGAGUGUGAGAGUGGAAAGUUCACACUGUGACGGUAUCUUACCAGAAAGGGACGGCUAACUACGUG
rnacentral:rRNA from 1 species